UACGAAAUCCAUUUGUCCACCGUGACCAGAAGAUCAUAAUCUCGUGCUCACUUAAGUGCCAUAGUCAUUGUUUGUAUCUGCUUCUUCGCCUUCGUCAUUAACUGCGCCAAGAAAAUACAGGCGGUUUUUCUACACAAAUGUCGAUAUAGUAUACAGACACAGGCAACAUCCAUCUGACAUCACAUCGUCAGAAAUUAUAAGGUCUAGAAAACUGCAGUAGUCUUACCUCCGACAUACAUCAAGAAAAAAUGUUUUCUCUCGCCAAAUUAGCUUAUAUGCACACGAAU